rnacentral:rRNA from 1 species
GACGAACGCUGGCGGCAGGCCUAACACAUGCAAGUCGAACGAGUGGCGGACGGGUGAGUAAUGUCUGUGACACUGCCUGAUGGAGGGGGUUAACUACUGGAAACGGUAGCUAAUACCGCAUACCAUCAGAUGGGCCCAGAUGGGAUUAGCUGGUUGGUGGGGUAACGGCUCACCAAGACGACGAUCCCUAGCUGGGGUGAGAGGAUGACCGGCCACACUGGAACGUAGACACGGUCCAGACUCCUAUGGUAGGCAGCAGUGGGGAAUAUGGGACAAUGGGCGCAAGCCUGAUGCAGCCAUGCCGCGUGUAUGAAGAGGGCCUUCGGGUUGUAAAGUACUUUAAGCGGGGAGGCGUUACCCGCAGAAGAAGCACCGGCUAACUCCGUGCCAGCAGCCGCGGUAAUAC